GUUAAAAAUGUGUUUGAAGGCAGUAUGCUUGGUAAAAGUCAUCGCCAUUCUCUAAUCUCGAGUACCCAGGGACACAAUGCACUGCGGAAGGCCACAGGGACCUCUGCCCAGGAAAGCCAGGCUUGCGUUAAGGAAAUGAUUUCCUAUGAUUCUGCUUACUGCUUAAAAAAAUUAAUCAAGUUUUCUGCCUGACAAGAUCCAGUAUCUGCUGGAGGAGCCCCACCUUCUGCUACUAUUAUGUUCUUCAGAUGAGUAGAAGAGAGUGGGGAGGGAGAGAGCAGGAAGAGGAAAGGAAGAAUAAUGUCUUGAAAUUGUUUUCUAAGGAUAAUGGUCUUCAGCUUCAUCCAUGUUCCUGCAAAGGACAUGAUGCUGACUUUGAAGAUGCAAGCUUCCACAUCUACAGCCUCAAGGAAACAAAUUCAGCCAACCACCUGAGGGAGCUUUCCUUGUCCUGCCUCAAGAUGAGAUCACAGUCUGUCCAACACCAUGAUUUAAGCCUUGUGACACCUGGUAUGGAAAACCCAGCUAAACUCUCUCCAAACUCUUGACCCACAGAACCUGUGAGAAAAUAUAUGGAUAUUAUUUUAAACUGCUAAAUUUGUGGUAAUUUGUUAUGCAGCAAUAAAAAAACUAAUGCAAGGAGAUAUAGAUUAUUGUAAAAAUCUUAGCUUUUGUUUUAAAAUAUAGUUCACCAGUAGUAAGUUACUAAUAAGUAACUAAACAAAUAAAAGCAAGCCAUUUACAAAUCAAUAAUAAGUCAUGAACUAAAGAUUGUAAUUAAUCAAUUUCUGUACUCCUGUAAUGAAAAUAAAGGAGGAAAAGAAAA